CAGGCCUAACACAUGCAAGUCGAACGGUAACAGGAAGCAGCUUGCUGCUUUGCUGACGAGUGGCGGACGGGUGAGUAAUGUCUGGGAAACUGCCUGAUGGAGGGGGAUAACUACUGGAAACGGUGGCUAAUACCGCAUAACGUCGCAAGACCAAAGAGGGGGACCUUCGGGCCUCUUGCCAUCAGAUGUGCCCAGAUGGGAUUAGCUUGUUGGUGAGGUAACGGCUCACCAAGGCGACGAUCCCUAGCUGGUCUGAGAGGAUGACCAGCCACACUGGAACUGAGACACGGUCCAGACUCCUACGGGAGGCAGCAGUGGGGAAUAUUGCACAAUGGGCGCAAGCCUGAUGCAGCCAUGCCGCGUGUAUGAAGAAGGCCUUCGGGUUGUAAAGUACUUUCAGCGGGGAGGAAGGUGUUGUGGUUAAUAACCGCAGCAAUUGACGUUACCCGCAGAAGAAGCACCGGCUAACUCCGUGCCAGCAGCCGCGGUAAUACGGAGGGUGCAAGCGUUAAUCGGAAUUACUGGGCGUAAAGCGCACGCAGGCGGUCUGUCAAGUCGGAUGUGAAAUCCCCGGGCUCAACCUGGGAACUGCAUUCGAAACUGGCAGGCUUGAGUCUUGUAGAGGGGGGUAGAAUUCCAGGUGUAGCGGUGAAAUGCGUAGAGAUCUGGAGGAAUACCGGUGGCGAAGGCGGCCCCCUGGACAAAGACUGACGCUCAGGUGCGAAAGCGUGGGGAGCAAACAGGAUUAGAUACCCUGGUAGUCCACGCCGUAAACGAUGUCUACUUGGAGGUUGUGCCCUUGAGGCGUGGCUUCCGGAGCUAACGCGUUAAGUAGACCGCCUGGGGAGUACGGCCGCAAGGUUAAAACUCAAAUGAAUUGACGGGGGCCCGCACAAGCGGUGGAGCAUGUGGUUUAAUUCGAUGCAACGCGAAGAACCUUACCUGGUCUUGACAUCCACAGAAGAAUCCAGAGAUGGAUUUGUGCCUUCGGGAACUGUGAGACAGGUGCUGCAUGGCUGUCGUCAGCUCGUGUUGUGAAAUGUUGGGUUAAGUCCCGCAACGAGCGCAACCCUUAUCCUUUGUUGCCAGCGGUUAGGCCGGGAACUCAAAGGAGACUGCCAGUGAUAAACUGGAGGAAGGUGGGGAUGACGUCAAGUCAUCAUGGCCCUUACGACCAGGGCUACACACGUGCUACAAUGGCGCAUACAAAGAGAAGCGACCUCGCGAGAGCAAGCGGACCUCAUAAAGUGCGUCGUAGUCCGGAUUGGAGUCUGCAACUCGACUCCAUGAAGUCGGAAUCGCUAGUAAUCGUGGAUCAGAAUGCCACGGUGAAUACGUUCCCGGGCCUUGUACACACCGCCCGUCACACCAUGGGAGUGGGUUGCAAAAGAAGUAGGUAGCUUAACCUUCGGGAGGGCGCUUACCACUUUGUGAUUCAUGACUGGGGUGAAGUCGUAACAAGGUAACCGUAGGGGAACCUGCGGUUGGA
rnacentral:rRNA from 3 species